GGGCGAAUAGCUCAGCGGUAGAGCACUCGCUUCACACGCGAGGGGUCGUAGGUUCGAACCCUACUUCGCCCA
rnacentral:tRNA from 1 species